UACGUAGGGUGCAAGCGUUAAUCGGAAUUACUGGGCGUAAAGCGUGCGCAGGCGGUUCGUUAAGUCAGCUGUGAAAGCCCCGGGCUUAACCUGGGAAUGGCGGUUGAAACUGGCGAACUUGAAUCUGGCAGAGGGGGGUGGAAUUCCACGUGUAGCAGUGAAAUGCGUAGAGAUGUGGAGGAACACCGAUGGCGAAGGCAGCCCCCUGGGCUGAGAUUGACGCUCAGGCACGAAAGCGUGGGGAGCAAACAGG
rnacentral:rRNA from 1 species